CUCAGGAUGAACGCUAGCUACAGGCUUAACACAUGCAAGUCGAGGGGCAUCAGUUUGGUUUGCUUGCAAACCAAAGCUGGCGACCGGCGCACGGGUGAGUAACACGUAUCCAACCUGCCUCAUACUCGGGGAUAGCCUUUCGAAAGAAAGAUUAAUAUCCGAUAGCACAUAUUUCCCGCAUGGGUUUUAUAUUAAAGAAAUUCGGUAUGAGAUGGGGAUGCGUUCCAUUAGUUUGUUGGGGGGGUAACGGCCCACCAAGACUACGAUGGAUAGGGGUUCUGAGAGGAAGGUCCCCCACAUUGGAACUGAGACACGGUCCAAACUCCUACGGGAGGCAGCAGUGAGGAAUAUUGGUCAAUGGACGCGAGUCUGAACCAGCCAAGUAGCGUGAAGGAUGACUGCCCUAUGGGUUGUAAACUUCUUUUAUAUGGGAAUAAAGUGGUCCACGUGUGGACUUUUGUAUGUACCAUAUGAAUAAGGAUCGGCUAACUCCGUGCCAGCAGCCGCGGUAAUACGGAGGAUCCGAGCGUUAUCCGGAUUUAUUGGGUUUAAAGGGAGCGUAGGCGGAUUGUUAAGUCAGUUGUGAAAGUUUGCGGCUCAACCGUAAAAUUGCAGUUGAUACUGGCAGUCUUGAGUGCAGUAGAGGUGGGCGGAAUUCGUGGUGUAGCGGUGAAAUGCUUAGAUAUCACGAAGAACUCCGAUUGCGAAGGCAGCUCACUGGAGUGUAACUGACGCUGAUGCUCGAAAGUGUGGGUAUCAAACAGGAUUAGAUACCCUGGUAGUCCACACAGUAAACGAUGAAUACUCGCUGUUUGCGAUAUACAGUAAGCGGCCAAGCGAAAGCAUUAAGUAUUCCACCUGGGGAGUACGCCGGCAACGGUGAAACUCAAAGGAAUUGACGGGGGCCCGCACAAGCGGAGGAACAUGUGGUUUAAUUCGAUGAUACGCGAGGAACCUUACCCGGGCUUAAAUUGCAAAUGAAUUAUGGGGAAACCCAUACGCCGCAAGGCAUUUGUGAAGGUGCUGCAUGGUUGUCGUCAGCUCGUGCCGUGAGGUGUCGGCUUAAGUGCCAUAACGAGCGCAACCCUUAUCUUCAGUUACUAACAGGUCAUGCUGAGGACUCUGGAGAGACUGCCGUCGUAAGAUGUGAGGAAGGUGGGGAUGACGUCAAAUCAGCACGGCCCUUACGUCCGGGGCUACACACGUGUUACAAUGGGGGGUACAGAAGGCCGCUACCUGGCGACAGGAUGCCAAUCCCAAAAACCUCUCUCAGUUCGGAUCGAAGUCUGCAACCCGACUUCGUGAAGCUGGAUUCGCUAGUAAUCGCGCAUCAGCCAUGGCGCGGUGAAUACGUUCCCGGGCCUUGUACACACCGCCCGUCAAGCCAUGAAAGCCGGGGGUACCUGAAGUACGUAACCGCAAGGAGCGUCCUAGGGUAAAAC
rnacentral:rRNA from 1 species